rnacentral:rRNA from 1 species
AUUGAACGCUGGCGGCAGGCUUAACACAUGCAAGUCGAGCGAGCGGCGGACGGGUGAGUAAUGUCUGGGAAACUGCCUGAUGGAGGGGGAUAACUACUGGAAAAGGUAGAUAAUACCGCAUACCCACAGAUGUGCCCAGAUGGGAUUGGCUAGUAGGUGGGGGAAUGGCUCACCUAGGCGACGCUCCCUAGCUGGUCUGAGAGGAUGACCGUCCACACUGGACUUGAGACACGGUCCAGACUCCUACGGGAGGAAGCAGUGGGGAAUAUUGCACAAUGGGCGCAAGCCUGAUGCAGCCAUGCCGCGUGUGUGAAGAAGGCCUUCGGGUUUUAAAGCACUUUCAGCGAGGAGGCGUUACUCGCAGAAGAAGCACCGGCUAACUCCGUGCCAGCAGCCGCGGUAAUAC